rnacentral:rRNA from 1 species
UACACUCCUACGGGAGGCAGCAGUGGGGAAUAUUGCACAAUGGGCGCAAGCCUGAUGCAGCCAUGCCGCGUGUAUGAAGAAGGCCUUCGGGUUGUAAAGUACUUUCAGCGGGGAGGAAGGCGAUAAGGUUAAUAACCUUGUCGAGUGACGUUACCCGCAGAAGAAGCACCGGCUAACUCCGUGCCAGCAGCCGCGGUAAUACGGAGGGUGCAAGCGUUAAUCGGAAUUACUGGGCGUAAAGCGCACGCAGGCGGUCUGUCAAGUCGGAUGUGAAAUCCCCGGGCUCAACCUGGGAACUGCAUUCGAAACUGGCAGGCUAGAGUCUUGUAGAGGGGGGUAGAAUUCCAGGUGUAGCGGUGAAAUGCGUAGAGAUCUGGAGGAAUACCGGUGGCGAAGGCGGCCCCCUGGACAAAGACUGACGCUCAGGUGCGAAAGCGUGGGGAGCAAACAGGAUUAGAUACCCGUGUAGUCCCAU